rnacentral:lncRNA from 1 species
GAGUUUCCCGAGCAGGAUGGUAGUGGUGAGAUAGGAUACUGCCUGAUAUGGGGAGCCUUGGCUCCUGGACAGGAACCUAACUCCUGGCUUUUUACAGGGAUGACAGUUGGUCUACAGAACCGCAAAUCUAUGUUGAACAGGCUAAGACUUGACCAGUUCCAGCUUUGAGCAACUUGAAGGCCAACUGCCCUGAGUUGAUGAACUCCUGCUUCCUAAUUGGGUUUUUUUGUUUGUUUGUUUUGUUUUUGCUUUUUAAAAACGUCUUGAGUUUAUUAUGGCCAAAGGCUAGGCGAGCAGAGAACCUGCUCAUAGCCGACCUUGAGAAACGUAGGCAGAACGUCCAUUGGCGGCAGAGGGCGGAGGAGGUGUUGGGCCGAGCCCUACGAUAGAGGCUGCAGCAGGAGCCUGUGCUCUCCCUUCUGAUGGCUGCCUGGGAAGUCAGACACUAUUCUCGGAGGUCCAACUUCACAGUGAGGAAGGCAAGACACCUAAACAGAAGGUCAUCUUCCCUUAGAUUUCUUCUAAGGCUUAGAAGAACAGAAGGGACAUAAAUGCCUUUAAUUUGCAGGCUGAGUUGGAUGAAAGGGAGGUUUUAAGACUCUUAGAGGCCGUCUUAGCUGAAUUAUGGAGCUGCUCCCUAAGAGACGAACCUCAGGCAAUUCUCUAAAAAGACCAUCUGGGCGGUCAAGAGCUGAACGCCGCUUGGUUUUCCCUUCUCCUUGCUUUGACUGGGACCCAAAAUAUGACAGUCGUCUGAUUCAAAUGUAGGGGGGCGUUUCUCAUUCCCGGAUGUCCUCCCAAAGGCAGAUACCCAUGCCCUUACCCGCGGCGCGUGAAUACGAAGGGAGGCACUGCUCGGGCUCGAGACCGCACCAGAGACUGCUCGGAGCCUGCCGCCUCUGGGCCGCCGCCCCCCGGAGUGGAGGCAAAGGGCCAGAGGCCCCGAGCUUUGGAGCCGCUGGCGCCCAUGUCAGCGCCGCGGGCGCAUGGCGGACCCAGCGGCCGCUCCGCUCUCACAGCGCGGCGGGCGCGACCAUGCCCUGCCCCAGCUUCCACUCGCAGGUGCCGCCGCCGCCGCCUUCCGCAGGCUCUGCUGUCUCCACGGAAACCUCACUUCCGCUUCCGCGCGUCCUGCACGGUGCCUCCUCUGAGUGGCUAAAGGUCUCGUCAGUCUGUGGUGUAGAACCAAUGGCCACUCUCAGAGGCUGACCACCACAGGAUGCGCUGCCUCCAGGUCCCAGAAGCCUAUGGGUCCCAAGGGUCAGCUGGGACAGCUCCCUUCCAGAAAGGCGGAGGUAAUGUGUUGUUGUUGACUUUAAGGUCGGACCCGGUAUAGUUGUCUCUACGUCCCUGACACGCCCAAAACUCCGGCCCAGUAGCAAUAGUCAAUUAGGUCACCCCUCCACCCCUAAGGGACCUUAGGCCUGUCUGAGGCUAAGGUUGGCUGUUUUCACAACUGUGUCUUUGCAGUUGUCACAUUUGCCUGUAAAGAAACUACGGAUCUUGCUUAAUGUUUUUGUUUUCUUUUUUCUUUUGGAGACAGGGUCUCACUAUGUAGCCUUAGCUGGCCUGGCACUUGCCAUGUAUAAAUGGCUGACGCUCAAAUGCCUGUCUCCCGAAUACUGGGAUUAAAGGAGUGACCAACCGCACAGGGAGCCAAACUUCUUUUUAAAACUUUUUUGAUCAAUUUCUUAAGAGUAUAUUUGAGGUCUGAAGGAACCUAAACUAAGUGUUGUAAGUUCACCAGAGAACAUUCUUCAGGAAAAUAAUUAUUACCAGCUUUCCCCUGGUAGCAUGUGAAGUGUGGGACCCACGAGUAGUUUUUUGGAGAAGGGGUUACUGCUAUGGUUUCUCUGAGUUGGCCUGGAGAAAAAAGUUUCCUGUGUAGUAACUGUAGCUUAUUCUUGUCUCUUCAUGACCUGAGCCCUGGAGGGUUGAAAGACACCUGAAUCCACAGGCAUACAUUUCCUGAACAUAUUGGUCCCACUGCGACCUUGGAGAGGGUGCACUCUGGAUGUGUCAAUCUUUGUUGGCAGUCUUUCAUUAGGUGUUACCCCGACUGGGGGCCCACAUCUAUAGAGUCCAAAACCAGAAAAAUUCUUACAUCUUUAUUCAGCCAAUUCUCUCAGGCAUCAGGCCCUGAUGAUGACUGUCACACCCCCAUCCCUUCCCCACAUUCAGUUGAGGCCACAAAACAUUACAUACAUUCAUACACUUCCAUCAAAAAUAUCUGAGGGAGACUCUGGCUUUGGCAAACAAGAAGAGGGUCUGGUCCAGCAACCUUUCCCUUAGAGGAGGCACUGACUGAGCCACUGUAGUUGUUGUACUGGCCAGCCCUCUCUGACCCCAGGGUGUUUGUUUGGAAGUCAGAAGGCACGGUAAGAGGGAACCCCAGACUCUACCUUAAUUGCUUGUAUUAUUCUGAGCAGCUACCCUUGGCUCUGAUAGGGCUAUCCUGAGACCCAUUCAUGACUCAAAACAAUCUUUCUCCAUAGGUAAGGUCUCUUACCCGUGAAAAUAUAACCUUGUUUUGUCUGUAGAGUCUCUAAGAUUCUCACAGCUGCGACCCUGUGACUUGAGCAGCUACGCAGAGUAUGACCCAGUACAUACGGGCAGAGGGAUGCAAAGCCCCGCCCCACUAUAUCCACAGGUAGACGGCUGGCUCUUUCCCUGUUCUCUGGGCUCAUCCCGGUCAGCAGAGGAGGACCUCCAUGCACACGCACUCCUCAGGCCCCACAGGCCCUGUCACACUCACACGGCACGCUCUUUGCACUGCCUGUUCUCCUCCUGUCAUCCAUGGAGACCCAAGGUCACCCCAAAGGACAGGCGUGCAGAGCCUCCUGGAUCUUCUGGCGACAACGAGAAUACUUCUGCAGGAUCUGGCGAAGGUGUUCCUCUUCUUCCCGCUGCAGGAUUCGUAGGAAAUUGUGCAGUUCAGGCAUGCUGAAGGCAUCCCACUGGAAAGGGCAGAGGAGAGAUACACGGGCUGCAGCAAUGAAUAGCUAAGUUGGCAGACCCUCCUCCAAGACUGGUCCAUGAUGGUUCUCCCAUGAGCAGGUCUGCGCUCCUGACAUUACCUCCUUUUCAUUUUAUUAUUAUCUUAUGUGUAUGCAUGUUUCCACAUAGAGGUCAGAAGAAGGUAUCAGACCCCCCAGAAUUAAGAGUUACAGAUGGUUGUGAGCUGCCAUCUGGGUGCUAGGCAUCAAACCCAUGUCCUCUGUAAGAACAACAUGUACUCUUAACCACUAAGCCAACUCCUUUUGUUGUUGUUUAAUGGUUUUAUAAUUUAUUUAUGUGCAUUGGUAUUCUGCCUGCAUGUAAGACUGUGAGGGCAUCAGAUCCCCUGGAACUGGAAUUACAGACAGUUGUGAGCUGCCAUGUGGGUAUUGGGAACUGAACCCCAGGUAUUGAACCCGGGUCCUUCAGAAGAGCAGCCGGUACUUUUAAUUGUUGACCCAUCUCUCCAGCCCUGCUAAGCCAACUCUUUAAGUCCCCUAUUUUUUUUGUUGUUUUUUUGAGUCAUAGUCUUUCUACAUAUCAAAGGUUGGCCUUUAACAUGCUAUGUAGUCCAGGCUAGUCUCAAACUUGUGAUUCUCCUGCUUCUGCUUCCGGAACGCUGAGAUUACAAGUAUUUAUCACAAUGCUAGCCUUGGUGUUAGGCUUUUCACUAAAUGGUCUGUGCUAGGAUCCUCAUGAGCAGUCUGUAUAGAAAACAGAUCCUACAAAACAGUCUCCUUGUAGUGAAAUAUCUCUAUCUGUUGUUAGGUGUAUUCUCCUGCAUAGUCUCAUAUUCUCUCCCUCAAUAUAAUGGGCUCUGAUUCAAACCUAGGGUCUCAUAAAUGUUAGCAAAUUACCUUUUACCAAGCUACAUUCCCAUACAGCCCUUGUACCCACCCUAUUCUUUUUCUUUUCUUUUUUUUGCUGCCGAGCUCUGUGCAUGCUGAGCGUCUAUUCUUACCACUAAGCCACAACUAACCCCGAUGUAAAAAGUCAUUGUCCUUUUUUUUCUUUCUUUUUACAUUACUGGAAAUUGCACUGUGCUAUCUAGUUUUCGGCUAACUUGACACAAGUUAAAGUUAUCUGAAAAUAGGGAAUAUUAAUUCUCUAUUAAUUGAAAACAAUGCCCCCACAAGCUAUAGCUUUAAGGCAUUUUCUUAAUGAGUGACUGAUAGGGGAGGGCCUAGCCCAUUGUGUAUGGUGCCACCCCUGGGCUGGUGGUCAUGGGUUCUAUAAGAAAGCAGGCUGAGCAAGCCAGUAAGCAGCGCCCACCAUGGCUUCCACUUCAGCUCCUGCCUUCAGGUUCCUGUCCUGUUUGAGUUCCUGCCCUGACUUCCUUCAAUGAUGGAUUAUCAUAUGGAACUGUAAUCCAAAUAAAUAAACCUUUUCCCCACCAACUUGGUUUUGGUCAUAGUGUUUCAUCAAAGCAAUAGAAGACCUAACUAAGACAUGAACAAAGGGCUAAGCUUGCUCAACACUUUACCACUGAACUACAGUCCCAAGCCUUUUUACUUUUGAGACAGGAUCUCAUUAAGUUAGCGUAGAUUGCCCUUUAAGUCACUCUGUAGCCCAGGAAGGCUUUGAACUAGUGAUCCUCCCACUUUAGCAUUCCAAGUAGUUGAGAGUAUAAGCCACUGUCCCUAGGCCUUGCUAGGAAGAGUGGUUUGUUUGUUUGUGAGAUAGGAUCUUGCUAUACAGGCCAGCCUAGUCUUGAACUUGAGGCAAUCCUCCUGCUUUAGCUUCCCAAGUAGAUGAGAUUAUAGGCCUGUGCCAUCUGUCCUAGCUGGCAGACCGUCUCAAUGCUUCCAAGAGGCCUUUAUGUUUUUCAGGUUAUACCUGCAAAGCUUUUUUCUUUUUCUUUUUGUUUUAAGGUUUGUUUCAGGGGCUCGAAAGAUAGUUCAGUGGUUAAGAGCAUUGGUUGCUCUUGAAGAGGACCAGAGUUCAAUUCCUAGACCAACAUGGUGGGUUCCAUCAUCUGUAACUCUGUUCUAGGAGAGCCAACACCUUCUUCUUACUUCUGUGGGCAUGUGUACACAUAUAUACAUGCAGGCAAAACAUUCAUACACAAAGUCUUUAAAAAAAAAUCUGUUUUAUGUGUAUAAGUGUGUUGCUUGCACGCACGUAUGCACAUUGUGUGUAUGGUCUGCAAUUAUUGGCAACUGUAAGCUUUUACAUGCGUCUAAGAACCAAAUCCAGGUCCUCUGCAUGAACAAUACAUGUUUUUAACCACUGA